rnacentral:rRNA from 1 species
AACUGAAGAGUUUGAUCAUGGCUCAGAUUGAACGCUGGCGGCAGGCUUAACACAUGCAAGUCGAGCGGGGGAAGGUAGCUUGCUACUGGACCUAGCGGCGGACGGGUGAGUAAUGCUUAGGAAUCUGCCUAUUAGUGGGGGACAACAUCUCGAAAGGGAUGCUAAUACCGCAUACGUCCUACGGGAGAAAGCAGGGGAUCUUCGGACCUUGCGCUAAUAGAUGAGCCUAAGUCGGAUUAGCUAGUUGGUGGGGUAAAGGCCUACCAA